AAAAAAAAAAAAUUUAUUAUAUAAUUAUUUCUGCCAACUUAUAAUUAUGCCUUUUAUUUAUUUAUUUAUUUUUGGAGAUAGGGAUCAUAGUUCACUGCAACUUUGAACUCCCAGGCUCAAGUGAUCCUCCUGCCUUCACCUCCUGAGUAGCUGGGACUACAGGCAUAUGCCUAUUUUUUUUUUAUUUUAGUAGAGAUUGAAUCUUGCUGUGUUGCCCAGGCUGGUCUCAAACUUUUGGGCCCAAGUGAUCCUCCCACGUUGGCCUCCCAAAGUGCUGGGAUUACAGGCAUGACCCCCACCCCGUGCCUGGCCUAUGCUUUUUGGAAGAUUAGCAUCUUCCAUUUUUCACUGUGACUCAUUAACCAAUGUCAGAAACUACUUUUUGUGAAAAACACUAUCGUGGGCCCAUUUUCCUGCCUUUGUAGUAUAUAUUUACAAACGAGUUGGAAAGAUAAGCCUGCCAUAAGUAAAAUUGAGAGGUGAAGCUGGCUGGGCCUCUGGGUCGGGUGGGGACUUGGAGAACUUUUCUGUCUAGCUAAAGGAUUGUAAACACCAGUGGGCACUCUGUGUCUAGCUAAAGGUUUGUAAACGCACCAAUCAGCACUCUGUAAAAACGCACCAAUAAGUGCUUUAUGUCUAGCUAAAGGUUUGUAAAUGCACCAAUCAGCACUCUGUAAAAACAGACCGAUCAGCGCUCUGUAAAAUGGACCAAUCAGCAGGAUGUGGGUGGGGCCAAAUAAGGGAAUAAAAGCUGGCUAUCCUAGCCAGCGGCUGCAACCCACUCGGGUUCCCUUCCACCUUGUGGAAGCUUUGCAUUUUCGCUCUUGUCAGUAAGUCUUGCUGCUGCUCACUCUUUGGGUCUUUGGGUCAGCACUACUUUUAAGAGCUGUAACACUCACCGUGAGGGUCUGCAGCUUCACUCCUGAAGUCAGCGAGAGGAUGAACCCACUGGGAGGAAGAAACUCGGGACACAUCUGAACAUCUGAAGGAACAAACUCCGGAUGCACCAUCUUUAAGAACUGUAACACUCACCGCGAGGGUCUGCAGCUUCAUUCUUGAAGUCAGCGAGACAACCCACUGGAAGGAACCAAUUUGGGACACAAAAUUUCCUUGAGAAAGAGGAGUCAAAUCCAAAAAGGACAUUAGUUGAGACUCUGAAGACCAUCCCUAUUUUGGGAAAGCUCAAGAUGGGUGGCAGCAGGACCCUGGUUCCCAUUAAGGAGGCCUGAGUUUCCAGCUGCUCUGCUCCCAUUGCAGCAAGGCAAUGGACAUUUGAAUAAGGGAAUCAAGAACCCUGCACAGCACUCCUGUUCUGGGGCCCAGGACAUUGACUACAAAGCAUUCUUCUCCAGCUAGAGAGAAAACAAGAGGAGUAGAACAAACAAAAGACCAGGAUUCACAAAACCUUCCAUGUCCGAGUUACUAACCAACUGAUUGGAGGCCCCCACUCAUUCACUUAUUCAUUCAUUCUUCUAAGAACAGAUUUAUUAGUUAGCUAAUGCUGAAAGACAACAACCAUGGAAAUCUCAAUGUAUGUGGUGUGCUGACCUGGACAUAUUCUUCCCCUUGGCAUGGCAGAAGGACAAGAGAUCAAGUGGAAAUGUACAAGACCUGUAAAGGCUUGGAAUUAGCAGCACCUCACUUCUACCUUGACCAAAGAAGGUCACAUGGCCCACCCAAAGCCAAGGGUGGGGAAAUAGAGUCGAAUAAAGGAAGGGGUGAAUAUUUCCG
rnacentral:lncRNA from 1 species